rnacentral:rRNA from 1 species
CCUACGGGUGGCAGCAGUGAGGAAUAUUGGUCAAUGGGCGAGAGCCUGAACCAGCCAAGUCGCGUGAAGGAUGAAGGAUCUAUGGUUUGUAAACUUCUUUUAUAUGGGAAUAAAGUGAGGAACGUGUUCCUUUUUGUAUGUACCAUAUGAAUAAGCAUCGGCUAACUCCGUGCCAGCAGCCGCGGUAAUACGGAGGAUGCGAGCGUUAUCCGGAUUUAUUGGGUUUAAAGGGUGCGCAGGCGGAGGUGCAAGUCAGCGGUCAAAUUGCGGGGCUCAACCCCGUACUGCCGUUGAAACUGCAUCCCUUGAGUGCGCGAGAAGUAUGCGGAAUGCGUGGUGUAGCGGUGAAAUGCAUAGAUAUCACGCAGAACUCCGAUUGCGAAGGCAGCAUACCGGCGCGCAACUGACGCUCAUGCACGAAAGCGUGGGUAUCGAACAGGAUUAGAUACCCCAGUAGUC